rnacentral:rRNA from 1 species
GAUGAACGCUGGCGGCGUGCCUAAUACAUGCAAGUCGAGCGAACAGACGAGGAGCGUGCUCCUCUGACGUUAGCGGCUGACGGGUGAGUAACACGUGGAUAACCUACCUAUAAGACUGGGAUAACUUCGGGAAACCGGAGCUAAUACCGGAUAAUAUAUUGAACCGCAUGGUUCAAUAGUUAAAGACGGUUUUGCUGUCACUUAUAGAUGGAUCCGCGCCGCAUUAGCUAGUUGGUAAGGUAACGGCUUACCAAGGCAACGAUGCGUAGCCGACCUGAGAGGGUGAUCGGCCACACUGGAACUGAGACACGGUCCAGACUCCUACGGGAGGCAGCAGUAGGGAAUCUUCCGCAAUGGGCGAAAGCCUGACGGAGCAACGCCGCGUGAGUGAUGAAGGUCUUCGGAUCGUAAAACUCUGUUAUUAGGGAAGAACAAAUGUGUAAGUAACUAUGCACGUCUUGACGGUACCUAAUCAGAAAGCCACGGCUAACUACGUG